rnacentral:rRNA from 1 species
GAUGAACGCUGACAGAAUGCUUAACACAUGCAAGUCAUUGGCGAAGCUGCGCUUGCGCAGUCUAGCCAAGGCGGACGGGUGAGUAACGCGUAAGGAACUUGCCCUGCAGACAGGGAUAACAGACGGAAACGACUGAUAACACCUGGUAUUGUCAGGCUGGCGCAUGCCGGCCUGAUGAAAGGAGACGCUGCAGGAGAGCCUUGCGUCCUAUUAGCUAGUUGGUGGGGUAACGGCCCACCAAGGCGAUGAUAGGUAGCCGGCCUGAGAGGGUGAACGGCCACAAGGGGACUGAGAUACGGCCCUUACUCCAACGGGAGGCAGCAGUGGGGAAUAUUGGACAAUGGGGGCAACCCUGAUCCAGCAAUUCUGUGUGCACGAAGAAGGUUUUCGGAGUGUAAAGUGCUUUCAGCAGGGAAGAAGAAAGUGACGGUACCUGCAGAAGAAGCGACGGCUAAAUACGUG